rnacentral:rRNA from 1 species
AACGAACGCUGGCGGCGUGGAUAAGACAUGCAAGUCGAACGGGACUAAAUCUGUAGCAAUACAGGUUUGGUUUAGUGGCGAACGGGUGCGUAACACGUGGGCAAUCUGCCGAGAAGUGGGGGGAUAGCUCGCCGAAAGGCGAAUUAAUACCGCAUAUGAUCAGGGAAGACAUCUUUCCGACAUCAAAGCCGGGGCAACCUGGCGCUACUCGAUGAGCCCGCGGCCUANCAGCUAGUUGGUGAGGUAACGGCUCACCAAGGCUAUGACGGGUAGCUGGUCUGAGAGGACGACCAGCCACACUGGAACUGAGACACGGUCCAGACACCUACGGGUGGCAGCAGUCGAGAAUUUUUCUCAAUGGGGGAAACCCUGAAGGAGCGACGCCGCGU